UUCGGCUCAUGACUAACAUGUCCUGUUUGUUUUCAGAGAAAGCGUUACACAAACCUAUAUCUUCGGUCCGACGCGGCAGGCCCCACCACCCCGAAUGCCACCCUGUCUCACAAACAGUUGGAGGAGAUACGGAAACGGACUAAGAACUUCACGGAACCGAAACUCAACUUGACAGACAGAGAGCUGGCACAGUUGCAGUACGCCAACUUAACGCAGAGAGAGUACAAGAUCUUGCAG